UGUGUUGUUGUGGGUUUGUAUGUGUCUAUGUGUGUAUUUCAGGAAAUAGCUUCCUGAAGUCCUAAGCAGCUGAUUGGUCGGUCCCAUCGAUAAUUGGAGCUCAGACCCCGCCCUCUCGUCAAAGGAUACAGCUGUCUUCAAUUAGACUCCUUCUGCAGCUUAAAAGGGUAUGCGUCAGUAUUGUUUGUUGCUCAGGGAGAGCGUCUUUGAUAUUCUGUGUUGUUUGUUGCUCAGGGAGAGCGUUGUUGAUAUUCUGUGUUGGUUGUUGCUCAGACACUUUUUGUAAAGUAUUUUGUAGCCGGUUCUGCAGAGGGGGGAAGGGGAAGGCACCUUGGGAGUGCUUAGGCAAGAGGCCUGCGGGCAUACAGUACAUACUACGAGUACAUGUCUAUGCACACUAGUCCAGACCCUUUGACACAGAAUUACCGUGUGAAGGAAUAAAUUCCCUGUUAACGGUGUAAUCGAUCCACAGAUGGCAGAGAGAAACCCAUGGGAGAGGAAGAACCCCUGGAAUGCCACAUUUCAAAAUGUGCGAGAGCAUUUAAAAUUAGAAGUUAUGAGAGGAUAGCCUACACCCAAGUGUUUGAUUGUGUUAAGGUUAUUAUAUAGCAAGGUGAUUGAGUAAAGAGUUGGUUGAAUUCAAAAUUAGUGAGUGGAUGAGAAGUUUAGGUUAUUAUGAUUCAACUCUGACCAGCAGGUCCUCUGAGCAGGGCCGGUAAUUGGGUGGAAGUACAUUGUCUCUCACCCUCAUCUCUGUCACGUCUUUCUCCUCACACUCUGGCUCCUGAGACCAAUCAGACAACCGGGUUACAGGAGUGUGUUUUGUGUGUCACGUCUGCUCUACUAAAGCAUCUCUGCAUAGAGAAAUGUAGGAGACUCACGUCAAUGACUUUAUCAGCUGUGACAGGGGCGGGCUCAGUGACUAGAGUGACGUCGUUCAACAACUCCGGUAGGGCGUCAAGUGAAUCCGUUGAGACUGCGGGCACCUGAACAGAGAUGACAUGCAGUCGGACUUGAGGAAGGGGACAGCAGGUGGUCAGCAGGUGGUCAUACUGUAUGAUUAAAGGUGUGCCAAAACAACAUGUGACCACAUCUGCAUGCACACCAAUAUCCUCUUAUUAUUCUGGAUACUCAAUUAUUCUGUUUUUUAGUUUAUGCAUAUAACCAUCAUAUCCCGUUUACAAUAACACGAAAAAGCUUGUAUCCCGGUUAUGCGAAACCCAGAAAAGAAGCCUGGGAUAUGUUUCUUUCUGACAGGAUAUUGUGGCAUGUAAACAUCUUAUCUCUUUUACUGUUUUUCACUGUCUCUGCAGGGACUGUUUCACAUGGAUUUUGUGAUGUUUUCAUCUGAUUGUCAAACAAAUCAUUUAAAGAGUAUGUUAUAGCUGUGUAGUUCAAUCCUCCAUAACAAUUUAUUUUGCUGAUACAACAGUAUAGCCUACUGGCUUAUGCUACUUUCACCCCUAAUUUGGAUACUUUUCUGCCUAUAAUUUCCAAACUUUGGUAGGCCAUUUGUCAACUAUAGUUAGAUACAUGCAGCUUCUCUUCUUGUCAUAACUUGUUGCUCAGAAGACUAAAGUAGUGUUCACCAGAAUGAAUGCACUAGUAAUCUACAGUAGUUAACACCAGUGAAGUUGUCUAUUUUGUUUAGGUAGCUGAGAACUGAUUAAACAUGUUUCUGAUAACACUUCAGUUUGUCUUGGGUGCAUAUUUUGUGGUUGAAAUACUGUCUGCUUGCAUAAGUGUCAAAUAUAAUGCAAAUGCACAUGUAACUUGUUUUCUUAAGAGAUGCUGAAAGAAAUCACAUUACUCCACUCCUGUUCCUACAAAA